CCCAAGGACGCAUUUUAUUUCUGAUCCCCGCU
rnacentral:piRNA from 1 species